UACGUAGGGUGCGAGCGUUAAUCGGAAUUACUGGGCGUAAAGCGUGCGCAGGCGGUUUUGUAAGUCAGAUGUGAAAUCCCCGGGCUUAACCUGGGAACUGCGUUUGAAACUACAAGGCUAGAGUGUAGCAGAGGGGGGGUGGAAUUCCACGUGUAGCAGUGAAAUGCGUAGAGAUGUGGAGGAACACCGAUGGCGAAGGCAGCCCCCCUGGGUUAACACUGACGCUCAGGCACGAAAGCGUGGGGAGCAAACAGG
rnacentral:rRNA from 1 species